CUUUGCUGUCGUUUAGAAGAGAUUUGACCUAUAAAGUUGGUGGGAAAUAAUGAUCUCAUGAACAUGGAUGUGGGAUUCCUUGAGCUCUCAGAAAUAAAGAGAUGCAGGUGUUCCCAGGGACGUUGCAUUGCACAGCAGUGGAGGGUGCAGGGCCAUGAAGUACAGCAGUGGAGAGGGCAUGACCACAGAGCUCUCCUGUGACAGGUAUGGCAGGCAGGAGCCUGGGAGGGGGAGGCGCCACAGAGCUCUCCUGUGACAGGUAUGGCAAG